rnacentral:rRNA from 1 species
CCUACGGGAGGCAGCAGUGGGGAAUAUUGCACAAUGGGGGAAACCCUGAUCCAGCAACGCCGCGUGGGUGAAGGAGCGUUUCUGCGCUUAAAACCCUUUCAGCGCGGAAGAAGAAAGACUGUACCCUACCACUAAGCCCCUUCUAACUACGUGCCAGCAGCCGCGGUAAUACGUAGGGUGCGAGCGUUAUCCGGAAUUACUGGGUGUAAAGGGAGCGUAUACGGCGAGGUAAGCCUGAAGUGGAACGCCGCGGCCCAACCGCGGAACUGCUGUGGGAACGGUUUUGCUUGAGUAUGGGAGGGGUAAGCGGAAUUCCUGGUGUAGCGGUGAAAUGCGUAGAUAUCAGGAGGAACACCGGUGGUGAAGGCGGCAUACUGGAGCAUAACUGACGUUGAGGCUCGAAAGCGUGGGGAGCGAACAGGAUUAGAUACCCGUGUAGUC